UACAGAGACUGCAAGCGUUAUUCGGAUUCACUGGGCGUGAAGGGUGCGCAGGCGGUUGGGUGUGUCAGGUGUGAAAGCCCGGGGCUUAACCCCGGAAUUGCGCCUGAAACUACAUGACUAGAGCAUUGGAGAGGGUAGCGGAAUUCACGGUGUAGCAGUGAAAUGCGUAGAUAUCGUGAGGAACACCAGAGGCGAAGGCGGCUACCUGGACAAUUGCUGACGCUCAGGCACGAAAGCGUGGGGAGCAAAAGGG
rnacentral:rRNA from 1 species